CCUUUAGUGAACAGAAGUCAACACCAUGUGGCUAAGGAACAUUCAUAUGACUCCAUUUAGUGAGCAACACAGAGGAGAGAGAUUGAAGAGGAGCGUUUGAUCUAACAAUGUAUGCUCACUGCAGGACUUUUACAUGUCUGCUUUCAUGGCAGCUGGACUUGUAGAGAAGAGGUGAAAAUGUUCCUACACAGGAUGCCUGCAACAACUGAUUAGGAAGAUACUGCCCUCAGGCAUGGGCGAUCACCUCCCAGCAGAGCAGAAGCCAGACAAAAGGCUUCCCCCUUCCUGAGUGACUGCUCUACACUGGUCUGUUUGGUAAGGGGAACUCUGAAGGAGAGGGUGACAGAAAAGUUUCUUUCUACGUACUUUCUUCAGAGCAUUGCACUAUUCCUUUCAGUGCUGACAUUCCAAGAAACUGGAGAAAAAGAGCUUGGCCUGUUUACCUUGAAGUUUGGCUCUUUGUUAGUUCCUCUAUGGAUGGACACCAUAUGGAAAGCACAGAGGAGAUGAUCAGUUGCCCAAGGCCGCUCAGUGGGAUUUCCUCACCUCCAGAAGCUCCACGUAGAACUGAAGUCAGCAG
rnacentral:lncRNA from 1 species